UCUAAGUAUAAACGAUUUAAUCGUGAAACCGCGAAUGGCUCAUUAUAACAGCUAUAAUUUACUUGAUCUUGACACAAUCCUACUUGGAUAACUGUGGUAAUUCUAGAGCUAAUACAUGCAUUAAAGCUCUGACCUCACGGGAAGAGUGCAUUUAUUAGAACAAAACCAAGCGGCUUCGGCUGUUUCUGGUUGACUCAUAGUAACUGAGCUGAUCGCAUGGUCUUGCACCGGCGACGUGUCUUUCAAGUAUCUGCCGUAUCAACUUUCGAUGGUAGUGUAUCUGACUACCAUGGUGAUCACGCGUAACGGAGAAUAAGGGUUCGGCUCCGGAGAGUUCGCCUGAGAAAUCGCGAACACAUCUAAGGAAGGCAGCAGGCGCGAAAAUUACCCACUCUCAGCACGAGGAGGUAGUGACGAAAAAUAACGAGACCGUUCUCUUAUGAGGCCGGUCAUCGGAAUGGGUACAAUU
rnacentral:rRNA from 1 species